rnacentral:rRNA from 1 species
UAAGCGGAGGAAAAGAAACUAACAAGGAUUCCCCUAGUAACGGCGAGUGAACCGGGAAGAGCUCAAAUUUGAAAUCUGGCGUCCUUCGGGCGUCCGAGUUGUAAUCUAUAGAGGCGUUUUCCGUGCCGGACCGUGUCUAAGUCCCUUGGAACAGGGUAUCAAAGAGGGUGACAAUCCCGUACUUGACACGACGACCGGUGCUCUGUGAUACGUCUUCUACGAGUCGAGUUGUUUGGGAAUGCAGCUCAAAAUGGGUGGUGAGUUCCAUCUAAAGCUAAAUAUUGGCGAGAGACCGAUAGCGAACAAGUACCGUGAGGGAAAGAUGAAAAGCACUUUGGAAAGAGAGUUAAACAGUACGUGAAAUUGUUGAAAGGGAAACGAUUGAAGUCAGUCGUGACUGUUGGGCUCAGCCGGUUCUGCCGGUGUAUUCCCUUCAGUCGGGUCAACAUCAGUUUUAAUCGGUGGAUAAGGGCAGCAGGAACGUAGCACCUUCGGGUGUGUUAUAGCCUGUCGUCGCAUACAUCGGUCGAGACUGAGGAACGCAGCUCGCCUUUAUGGCCGGGGUUCGCCCACGUCCGAGCUUAGGAUGUUGACAUAAUGCUUUAAACGACCCGUCUUGAAACACG